AUUGAACGCUGGCGGCAUGCCUUACACAUGCAAGUCGAGCGCGAAAGGGGGCAACCCGAGUAGAGCGGCGGACGGGUGAGUAACGCAUCGGAACGUGCCCAGUAGUGGGGGACAACCUCGAGAAAUCGAGGCUAAUACCGCAUACGACCCACGGGUGAAAGCGGGGACCGCAAGGCCUCGCGCUAUUGGAGCGGCCGAUGUCCGAUUAGCUAGUUGGCGGGGUAAGAGCCCACCAAGGCGACGAUCGUAGCUGGUCUGAGAGGACGACCAGCCACACUGGGACUGAGACACGGCCCAGACUCCUACGGGAGGCAGCAGUGGGGAAUUUUGGACAAAUGGGGGCAACCCUGAUACAGCCAUGCCGCGUGCGGGAGGAAGGCC
rnacentral:rRNA from 1 species